rnacentral:rRNA from 1 species
AGUGAACGCUGGCGGUAGGCCUAACACAUGCAAGUCGAACGGCAGCACAGUAAGAGCUUGCUCUUACGGGUGGCGAGUGGCGGACGGGUGAGGAAUACAUCGGAAUCUACUUUUUCGUGGGGGAUAACGUAGGGAAACUUACGCUAAUACCGCAUACGUCCUACGGGUGAAAGCAGGGGAUCUUCGGACCUUGCGCGAUUGAAUGAGCCGAUGUCGGAUUAGCUAGUUGGCGGGGUAAAGGCCCACCAAGGCGACGAUCCGUAGCUGGUCUGAGAGGAUGAUCAGCCACACUGGAACUGAGACACGGUCCAGACUCCUACGGGAGGCAGCAGUGGGGAAUAUUGGACAAUGGGCGAAAGCCUGAUCCAGCAAUACCGCGUGGGUGAAGAAGGCCUUCGGGUUGUAAAGCCCUUUUGUUGGGGAAGAAAAACAGCAGGUUAAUACCCGGCUGUUCUGACGGUACCCAAAGAAUAAGCACCGGCUAACUUCGUG